rnacentral:rRNA from 1 species
GAUGAACGCUAGCUACAGGCUUAACACAUGCAAGUCGAGGGGAAACGACAUCGAAAGCUUGCUUUUGAUGGGCGUCGACCGGCGCACGGGUGAGUAACGCGUAUCCAACCUGCCCAUCACUUGGGAAUAACCUUGCGAAAGUAAGACUAAUACCCAAUGAUAUCCCACGAAGGCAUCGGAAUGGGAUUAAAGAUUUAUCGGUGAUGGAUGGGGAUGCGUCUGAUUAGCUUGUUGGCGGGGUAACGGCCCACCAAGGCAACGAUCAGUAGGGGUUCUGAGAGGAAGGUCCCCCACAUUGGAACUGAGACACGGUCCAAACUCCUACGGCAGGCAGCAGUGAGGAAUAUUGGUCAAUGGGCGAGAGCCUGAACCAGCCAAGUAGCGUGCAGGAAGACGGCCCUAUGGGUUGUAAACUGCUUUUAUAAGGGAAUAAAGUGGGUCACGUGUGACUUUUUGCAUGUACCUUAUGAAUAAGGACCGGCUAAUUCCGUG